GUCUAUGGCCACACCACUCUGAACACACCCGAUCUCAUCUGAUAUCGGAAGCUAAGCAGGGUCAGGCCUGUUUAGUAGUUGGAUGAGAGACCACCUAGGAAUGCCAGGUACUGUAGGUG
rnacentral:rRNA from 1 species